GGACAGGCUGUUUUUGAUGGAAAUGUUCAAGUCAAUAGAUAUGCGCAGCAGACAGAUGCAGGACAACUUACACGAAGCCUCCUUUUGGAGCCUCGGGCAACUGUGAAUGUCAAACCUAAUCUCCAAAUCAUCGCUGAUGAUGUCAAGUGCUCCCAUGGUGCUGCAAUCAGUGACCUCGAAGAAGACCAACUGUUUUACUUCAGGGCACGGGGUGUUGAUGCUGAAACUGCCAGAAAAGCUCUGAUCUUUUCGUUUGCAGCUGAAGUAGUAGACCGUUUCCCUAAUGCCUCGAUUAGGAAGAAAGUCGAAACACACAUUAGAGAACUGCUCGAUCCCUCACGCCCUUCACGGUGAGCCUUCUUGAAAUGUGGCACAUUUUUUCUUCUGAUAAUGAAUGGAAGCCCCUCUUUUACUCAACAAAUAUAAGCAGUUGUUCAGUGUAAUGUAAUUCUUUUCAGUAUUGAAGAAAUAAAUAUGGUGAUGUUUAUUUGAAAACCUCCAUUGUCUGUACCAAAAGAUGUAUCUUUUUUAAGACAGUGGAAUUGUUUGAUAGGAAAGUGCUUUAUAAUUUUGCACU
rnacentral:misc_RNA from 1 species